rnacentral:tRNA from 1 species
GAGGGUCUAGCUCAGUGGUAGAGCACAUGCUUAGCACGCACGAGGUCCUGGGUUCCAUCCCCAGCACCUCCA